UCAAAGUUUUAUUUAAGCUUGGAGUUUAAGUUUACUUAUCUUUUACAUGUAUGGUUUGGAUUUUAUAUAGUUUUUUUUGCAGUAUUUAAUAUUAAUUAUCUGGUUAUUCAGGAAUUAGGAAUAAGUUAGAGUUUUAAUGAAACUUGUGCCAGCAAUUGCGGUUAUACAAGUAAUGCGGUUUAAACUUUUUGGUUAAUAAUUAAUUGAUAGUUUUUAGGUUUAUUUUUUAUCUUUUUAGGUGAAAUUUUAAGUUAGAUAAGGUCCUGAAUAUUAUUUAUGAGGUUAUUAAAGUUCAAUUGUAAACUAGGAUUAGAUACCCUAUUAUUUGAAUUGUAAAUUUUUAUUCCUGAUUAUUAGUAGAUUAUUUUCUUGAAAAUUAAAGAAUUUGGCGGUAUUUUAGUCCAUUCAGAGGAACCUGUCCUAUAAUUGAUAGUCCACGAUUAGUUCUACUUUUUCUUUUAGUUUGUAUAUCGUCGUGUUUGAAUAUUUUAGAAGAAUUUAAAUGUUCAAUUUGUUUUAUAAGAGGGGAUGUCAGAUCAAGGUGCAGCUUAUGGAGAAGAAGGAGAUGGGUUACUAUAAAUUUAUUUUUGGUUUAUUGAUUUAAAUAUCUUUAAUAAAUCGGAUUUGAUAGUAAUAUUGUCUGUUUAGACAAUGUGAUUGAGGCUCUAAAAUAUGUACAUAUUGCCCGUCGCUCUCAUUAAAGUGAGAUAAGUCGUAACAUAGUAGAUGUACUGGAAAGUGUAUCUAGAAAGAC
rnacentral:ncRNA from 1 species